GACGAACGCUGGCGGCGUGCUUAACACAUGCAAGUCGAGCGGUAAGGCCCUUUCGGGGUACGACGAGCGGCGAACGGGUGAGUAACACGUGGGUGACCUGCCCUCCAGCUCUGGGAUAAGCCUGGGAAACCGGGUACUAAUACUGGAUAUGACUCCAUGACGCAUGUUGUGGGGUGGAAAGCCUUGUGCGGCUGAGGAUGGGCCC
rnacentral:rRNA from 1 species